AGUGAACGCUGGCGGUAGGCCUAACACAUGCAAGUCGAACGGCAGCACAGUAAGAGCUUGCUCUUACGGGUGGCGAGUGGCGGACGGGUGAGGAAUACAUCGGAAUCUACUUUUUCGUGGGUGAUAACGUAGGGAAACUUACGCUAAUACCGCAUACGACCUACGGGUGAAAGCAGGGGAUCUUCGGACCUUGCGCGAUUGUAUGAGCCGAUGUCGGAUUAGCUAGUUGGCGGGGUAAAGGCCCACCAAGGCGACGAUCCGUAGCUGGUCUGAGAGGGUGAUCCGCCACACUGGAACUGAGACACGGUCGAGACUCCGACGGGGAGCAGCAGUGGGGAAUAUUGGACAAUGGGCGAAAGCCUGAUACAGCCAUACCGCGUGGGUGAAGAAGGCCUUCGGGUGGUAAAGCCCUUUUGUUGGGAAAGAAAAGCAGCAGGUUAAUACCCCGCUGUUAUGACGGUACCCAAAGAAUAAGCACCGGCUAACUUCGUG
rnacentral:rRNA from 1 species